rnacentral:tRNA from 1 species
GGGGUUAUAGCUCAACUGGUAGAGCGCCAGCUUUGCAAGCUGGAUGUUAGGAGUUCGAGUCUCCUUAGCUCCAGGA